rnacentral:lncRNA from 1 species
GGGGGAGGGGUGCUGGGGGGGCGGCACUAAACCAAGAAAUUCGGGCUUGUGUAAUGAAGCGAAAAAGUGCUCGAGACUUGAAUGCUACUCGGUACAUUCAAGGGAUCGACGGUGGCCAGGAACAAAUUCAGACAGCACGAAGGACCUGGAGCUGGGGAGAGAGGCCUGGCCAGGAUCCGGAUAAUCACAGCUCACUAAAGAGAUUGAGGAAGGUAAACAGGUCUGUUGGGAAUAGAUGGGCUGGGGUGGGAUUCUUAACAAACUUGAGUCAUAGAAUCCGAGCCACAUAGCCCAGAGGAAAGGUCAGGUCCCCAGAGUCUGGGAAAUUCCAGGAGGAGAACUGGACACCUGAGUGAAGAGAGGGAGGGAAGAGUUUCCAUUUCCCUGGCUGAGUCCAGGCUUCGCGGACAGAGCAGAAAGAGUUCCAGGUUACUGGUGUCAAAAUCAUGAUUCCAGCAGGCCUACUGACAUGUGCUUUGCUUCCCAGAGCUCUGGAGGCAAGGACAACCAGAUCUCUGUGAGUUCUGGGCCAGCCGGUCUGGACAGUGAAUUGUAAGCCAGCCAGCGAUACAAAGUGAGACCCUGUCCUGGAAAAAGAAAAAGAAAAAGAAAAAGAAAAAGAAAAAGAAAAAGAAAAAGACA